CAGCAAGCCCACGUCUGGAGAAACAACAAAUCACUUUUAAUUUUUAAGCAUGGAGCCAGUUAAAUUGCCACAUCUGUAUUUGGUGGAUGCUUUGUCCAGUCCUACUGUGGGCCAUAGUGACAUAGCCAGGACCAUGGAGAGAGAGACCAUUGCUGAGGAGGUGGGGAGGGCAAGUUCCUGGUCAAUCAGAUGAUCUUACAUGACAAAGCUGCUCGUAAAGAUGCAGAGUCUGAUGACAAACUCAGGAUGAUGAACCUGAGGAUUUGUACAAAACAGGUGAGGUGGACUUUGACCCCAACUAUGAGAGUUUACUAGCGGAGCUCCACCUAGCAACCAGCGGUAGCAACGCACCUGGAGUGGAUCAGAUACAAUGAGAAACUAAUACUGGAGAAUUAUGCGGCCAUUUUUCAGCCCGGCCAAGUGUUGAGGAGACAAGAAGAGGCACUGAGAAUGGAGGUAGAGCUUUAGGCCUACUAUGCUGCUAAGAGAGGGGUCUCACGUAAACUGGCCACUCAGACGCUAACAGACCUCAGCAGUAUGGAAAAGGGUCUGUCAUCAGAGACUACAAACUGCCCAGCCCUUACAUGCAGCCCACCUCCAGUCUGGUGAGCAGCCUAUAAGCAGUGAGGGACAGUCUGAAGACAUGGGUCCAUGGACAGGGGCUACCGAGAAACCUCCAAGAGAUACUACACGUAGGAACAGAGCCGACCGACGUGGAGACGGUUACUAUCGCUACUGAAGAGGUGGUACCCAGUUCACAGUUUGAGAUAGAGAUAAGUCAGAGUGAUGAUGGGGAGAGUGUGGAGCAGCUACAGGCCAGUGACUUGGGCCCUAACUUUGGCCUUGUGCAUGAACCCAGG